UGUAAGAUGUCGGAUAGAACGAGUAGUUUUGAUAGAACUGAGUAGGUAUGUUUUUUACUCUUACAU
rnacentral:tRNA from 1 species